rnacentral:lncRNA from 1 species
GAACAUGUGUGUAGAGACACACGCAAGGCUCAAAGCUUCCAAAAUGGAGUAAAAUGAUUUUGUUGUUGUUGCUGAAGCUUUUGCGUGAGAGAGAAGAGUAAAAGGUUGUUUUCUAACUUUGGAAAAUGAAUAAUGAAUAAUGAAGGACACUGGUAGUGGUGUGUAUGGGUGGACAAUGGGUGGGUGUGGGCCCAAAAUGUCCAUCCGACCCAAACCGCAUGUGUUAUUACGAGGUCCAUAUCAACCCAUAUUUUAUUUCGGUUUUUCGGGUUGCGGUUUUUCGGGUUCGACAGAUCACUCGGUUUGGUCUGUAUGGGUCAUGAAUAAGAAGAAAGAUGAGGAAAACAAAAUCAAACAAAGUAACCAAUCUUCUCCAGAAAAAUAGAAUAACAGAUCCAAAACUAAAAAAUCCGGAUCUGUAAAAAAUAUAAACAAACAAAAGCAAUGACAAACAUUUAGAUCUGCAAAUAUAUAGAGUUGUUUUGAGAGACAAGGAGUAGAAACAAAAAUUGUUGGCGUUGUAUAGUUGGCCUCAUUUUGCUAAAACAUGUGAUCUUUCCUGAUGUGGAACUACAUGCUUCCAUCAUCCAGUAUAAGCAAGAUGUUCGGUACAAUGCUUCAACAUUGGAUACCACANNNNNNNNNNNNNNNNNNNNNNNNNNNNNNNNNNNNNNUAUGGAAUCCACAAUAAAUGUUCGUUUGUGAUAAGGAAAACGCAUAAUUAUUAAUGGAUCUCGUGAUCAAGUGUUGCUUGUUAAUCAGAUCUUCAAGUUAAGGAAACAAAACAUUUUAAUUGAAGAAUAUUCCUUGAAGGGACCGUUAAUCAUGCUGAGCUAUUGAAGCCUAAUUGAAGACCUAGGCUGAGCUCGUGAAAGUUAUUUAAAGAAGGUUGACUCCAUUGUUCAAUUCACUGAAACUAGAUUUGAGUCUUACAAAGCGUGAGUUUAGGUUUUAGUAUUGUGUCCAUUGUGUUCUAAGUCUUGUGUUGAUUUCCCACUAGACUAGGAACUGUGUGUUUGUGCAUUGUAAUAUCUCUGGAGCUUCUAAGCAAGGAGAUAGUGUGUGUAUACCAUUCCAAAGCUUUUAAGCACGGAAGUGGUGUAAGUGUUUUAUGAAGUGUGUCUUCACAUAUUAAAUCUUGUAUUGUACGAUCACAGUGGCUGUGAUCAAGAGGAGGUGAGCGGAGGUUCUCAUACCUAGGUGUGUCUUAGGUAGGAUAUAGCACGGGUGGUAAUUAGGUGAGAAGUCUUAAACGGGAGGUUUAUUGAGGGCUNNNNNNNNNNNNNNNNNNNNNNNNNNAUGCUGAACUGGGUUAACAAAUUACUGUGUUAAUUUACUUUCAGUUCUGUUUAGUUUAUUAUUCCUUGUGUAUGCGCUGUUGGAUGUUGGAUCAAUUAUUCACGCAUUAAAAGUGUACUAUAGUGGUGAAGCGUUGAGUACAACAUCUUAAUACUAGUGUGCCAGAAUUUCAAAAAUUGUUGGAGAGGAACAAAGUAAUAGAGAAUAAUUCACAAACAAAAAAUGAGAGUAGAAGAAAUUAGAAGAGAAAGUUUGGGACUUGAACUUGAAAGAGAAAACAGAGAAGAGAUGAGUGCACAGCGGCUGUUGCUAGGGUUUGGGGAUAACAA